rfam:Equus caballus chromosome 18, whole genome shotgun sequence.
GCCCUGGUGGUCUAGUGGUUAAGAUCUGGCACUCCCACUGCUGAGGCCCAGGUUUGUUUCCCGGUCAGGGAA